UCAGACGAUGCGUCAUGCAUAUCAAUAAGCGGAGGAAAAGAAACUAACAAGGAUUCCCCUAGUAACGGCGAGUGAAGCGGGAAGAGCUCAAAUUUGAAAUCUUAAAGGGUUUCCCUUUACGAAUUGUAGUUUAAAGAAGUGUUUUCUGUUGAGGUUUUGGUAAAAGUUCUUUGGAAUAGGACAUCAUAGAGGGUGAGAAUCCCGUAUUUGACCUUUACUUUCAACUUUGUGAUACACUUUCAAAGAGUCGGAUUGUUUGGGAAUGCAGUCCAAAAUGGGUGGUAAAUUUCAUCUAAAGCUAAAUAUUGGCGAGAGACCGAUAGCGAACAAGUACCGUGAGGGAAAGAUGAAAAGAACUUUGAAAAGAGAGUUAAACAGUACGUGAAAUUGUCAAAAGGGAAGCGUUUGACACCAGUGUUGUUUUUCUGAAAAUCAAUUAAAGAACUGUUUAUGCUAAGCUGUUUAGACUUUAUCAGCUAACUGUUUAGUUUUGAGCUUUUCUUUAAUGCACUUUUCAGUUAACAAGUCAACAUCAAUUUCUUUUGCUGUAAAAAAGCUUGAGGAAGGUGGCUUGAGAUUCGUCUUAAGUGUUUAUAGCCUCUUGCCUAUGCAGUCGGAGAGAUUGAGGUCUGCAGCGUAGAUCCUUCGGGGCUAAAUGCAUUUGUGCUAAGUUAUAGCAUUUUAUAGACAACUUGUUGACUAUGAUUUGUCUUGUAGCUUACUCGCUUAUGUUAUUUUACCUACGCUUAGGAUGUUGAGCGCAUGUCUCUCUCU
rnacentral:rRNA from 1 species